CUAUGCGCCUUGCCCAGCCCGCUCAGGUGUGCCAGCCGCGCGGUAAUACGGAGGAUGCGAGCGUUAUCCGGAUUUAUUGGGUUUAAAGGGUGCGUGGGCGGAUUUUUAAGUCAGCGGUAAAAUGUCCGGGCUCAACCCGGGCCGGCCGUUGAAACUGGGGAUCUUGAGUGGGCGAGAAGUAUGCGGAAUGCGUGGUGUAGCGGUGAAAUGCAUAGAUAUCACGCAGAACUCCGAUUGCGAAGGCAGCAUACCGGCGCCCGACUGACGCUGAGGCACGAAAGCGUGGGGAUCGAACAGG
rnacentral:rRNA from 1 species